GACGAACGCUGGCGGCGUGCUUAACACAUGCAAGUCGAGCGGAAAGGCCCUUCGGGGUACUCGAGCGGCGAACGGGUGAGUAACACGUGAGUAACCUGCCCCAGACUUUGGGAUAACCCUCGGAAACGGGGGCUAAUACCGGAUACGACACAGCUUCGCAUGGGGUCUGUGUGGAAAGUUUUUCGGUUUGGGAUGGGCUCGCGGCCUAUCAGCUUGUUGGUGGGGUGAUGGCCUACCAAGGCGACGACGGGUAGCCGGCCUGAGAGGGCGACCGGCCACACUGGGACUGAGACACGGCCCAGACUCCUACGGGAGGCAGCAGUGGGGAAUAUUGCACAAUGGGCGGAAGCCUGAUGCAGCGACGCCGCGUGAGGGAUGACGGCCUUCGGGUUGUAAACCUCUUUCAGCAGGGACGAAGCGUAAGUGACGGUACCUGCAGAAGAAGCGCCGGCCAACUACGUA
rnacentral:rRNA from 1 species